UAUUUUUUCCAAAAUCAUUUUGCUUAUUCAAUUCAAAGACACCGUUAAGUUAUUUUUUUCUUCUCUUUCUCACUUGAAUCGAAUCGAGAGUGGAGUGCAGCUGCUUUACGAGUAAUUGCCUAGUUUUGGACGGAAUGCAGAAGUUAAGCAAAACCUCUACGAAGAUAUUCAAAGAAGGGCAAUGACGACUAGAGAGUGCACUACAGGAGAGCAUCAAACGCUCCUGGAAGAUGAAGACAGGUAUCAUUCGGUGCAGUGGGAGGAUGCUGGUCAUCAGAUCAAGUGCAUGAAGCAAGAAGACUGGGAAGAAACAGGCUCUCAAGAAGACAAGAACUUAUUUCCUGGGCCUGGUAUGAGCCAUGCUUCACAAUCUGCAAUAGAGCAAAAUGUCAUCAGUAGUUUGGACACUCCAGUGCUCACACUCGAAUGUCAGGAACAGGCACGAUUAGGCUCUUUGACUGAGGAGGGUGGUUAUUCUAACAUCAGUAGUUUGAACACUCCACUGCUCGCCCUCGAAUGUCAGGAACAGGCACAAGAAGGCUCUUUGACUGAGGAGGGUGGUUAUUCUAACACCACCAACCCUGCAGAAGCUCGAUGUGAAGUCUCGGUCGACCGUCCUCCAAGAACCACCAGAGCCACUGAAGAACAUGGUGAAGAUCAUCGUGAAGCAACGACUGAACGUACAGAAGAUAUCCAGAAGCCGUUUCCAUGCCCCGAGUGCCAUAAAAGGUACAUUCGUAAACAUGACCUAAAAUUGCACAUGAAGUACCACACUGGGGAGGAUCUUCACCCGUGUGAGGAGUGUGAGAAGAAGUUUCAUUCCAAGUGUGUCCUCAGGAAGCACAUGAAAUUACACACAGGCGAAAAGCCCCAUGUUUGUUCAGUGUGUAGCUUCGGGUUCUUGAGAAAGAGUACCCUCACAGUACACAUGCGAAGGCACAAUGAUGAGAAGCCAUUUCAGUGCCGUCAAUGUCCGAAGAGAUUUAUCGUAAACAAUGAGCUUACAAGCCAUGUGAAGCACAAGCAUGGUGGGGUAGGGGAGCACAAGUGUGGUUAUUGUAGUAAGAGGUUCUUUUCAAGAAGUGACCUCAUUAUACAUGAAAGAACACACACCAACGAAAGGCCGUUUCAAUGUUCGGAGUGUGGUAAAAAGUUUCGUUCAAAGAGUUGCCUUACUGUACAUAGGCGAUUGCAUAAAGGAGAGAUGCUUAAAGGAGAGAUGCAGAAAGGAGAGAUGCGUACAGGAGAGAUGCUUAAAGGAGAGAAACAUCAGUGUCCCGUCUGUAAUAAGACAUUCAGUCAGAAGUGUUACGUCAGUGUGCACAUGAGAAUCCACAAUGGAAAGCCGCAUAGGUUCCCUCACUUCCUCAGGGGGUUACUCACCAAGUCUGAUCUUGCGCAACAGGUUCGAGCGCAAAGAGGCGAAGAAACGUUUUCGUGCACCAAGUUACUCACCAAGUCCGAUCUCGCGCAACAGGUUCGAGCGCAAAGUGGCGAAGAAACGUUUUCGUGCACCAAGUGUCCUAAGAAAUAUUACACAAAAUCAGAGCUCUCGAAACAUUUCCUGUAUCACCAGACGAAAAAACUUCGAUGUGGAAAGUGUGAUGAGGUAUUCACGUCAGAGGCUCGUUUUGCGCAGCACAUGAGGAGUCAUACAGAAAAGUCUAUGUGUGGUACGUGUGAUAAGGUUUUCAUGUCAAAGGGUCGUCUUGCAAAACACAUGAAGUCUCACUUGUGUGCUGUAUGUAAUGGAAGUUUUAAGACGAAGGCCAUCCUGCUGCAACACAAACGAACGCAUACCAGAGAAAAACGGUUUGCGUGUCCGGAGUGUGGCAAGAAAUUUGUAAGGAAGGCAAGGCUGGCUGUUCACAUGAGGACUCACACUGGUGAAAAGAAUUAUAAAUGCUCACAAUGCGACAAAGCAUUUAACAGAGCUGGUAACCUUGAAAGACAUAAGGUUACAGUACAUACCGGUGUCAAGGCUUUUUCUUGUUCCUUGUGUGAUAUCAAGUUCACUGCCAAGUGGAGUUGCGAUGCCCACAUCGUGAGAUUCCACCCCGAAAAAUGUCUGUAUCAGUGUUCUGAAUGCAGUCGGAAAUUCCUCACAAAGGGUUCCCUCGAGGAUCACCAUUUGAGAAUACAUACCGAUAGUGAAGACACCGGGCCACACCCAUGCAAAGAGUGUGAUGACAAAUUUGCUACAAGGGGUAGUCUACGUGAACACGCUUUGAGAAUGCACCCGAAUGUUGAGCGUAACCAUUGCUCUGAUUGUGAUAAAACUUAUUCUUCGAAGUACUCCCUUGUUGCUCAUAGACAGAUGUUUCACUUGGAGGGAAAGUUACCUGAGUGUGGGGAGUGUGGAAAGCGAUUUAAUUCGAAAGCUUCCUUGCGGUACCACCAAAGAGUCCACCGGGGUGAAAAGCCCUUCCAAUGUCCCGAGUGUGAUGCGAGGUUCCAUCUGAAGACCAUCCUCAAUAACCACAUGAAGAUCCACUUGCAUGAGAAACCUCACAAGUGCCCAGACUGCAGCAUGAGCUUCAUCAAUGGGUAUAACCUUGGAAGACAUCGUAAGAAGCACACGGGUGAGAAGUCCUUUCAGUGCUCCAUUUGUGGCAGGAUGCUGGGAACAAAGCAGGCUCUUAAUGAACACAUGAUGACGCACACCGGGGAACGACCGUUCUGUUGCCAACAUUGCGAUAAAGGUUUUGUUUCAAAGACGGAACUUAGGAGGCAUUUAACGAGACAAGCCAGUGCACAGCCUCAUCCAUGUCCCAAAUGUACAGAGAGCUUUCCUUAUAAGUGCAGCCUUAAGAAUCAUGUGAAAAGUGUGCAUUGACGGAAUCUAUUUCAGAUUGGAACCAAGGGGGUGUUUCUCAAGGAUCCCAAGUUGGACUUAACAAUUAUGGAAAGCUAUUAGCAUCUUUGAAAAUAUUUUGUAAAAGUUAUUUUAGAAGGCAUUUAAUGUUCAUUCAUACUUUCUAUUGUCGAGGAGAUUUCAUGUUCUUGAUGUGGAAUUUAUGAAAAGUCUAAAAUACUUGAGUUUUUGCUUUUGAAUAUAUUUUAUUCUAAGGCUACGGAUGGCUCUCCAUGAAUUUUAAGUCCAACUUAGAGUUAAGUUCGACUUGGGAUCUUUGUGAAACACCACCAGGGGCUUGUUUCAUGAAGCCGUCAUAAGUACAAGAUCUAUUUCAUCCCAAUGCUUUUGUUCGACUUGUCUGCCGAGUGUUUCACAAAACUGGUUUUGCAACUUCCCGUCAACAGACUUGUUGCAACUCGAAACCUGUCAUAUCUUUUUAGAACGCCAUCCGAUCUCAAGGCAACUUUAAUGCCCAUCUGUACUAAUUUCCAGGAGGGAUUAGACCACUCUGCAAGGUCACUGACAGGUGAUUAUCUCAUCAAAUCAGCUCUCACUUAACAUAAGAAAAAGUGGAUCAUGGGAGACGAAUGGUUACCAAUUAAGCAGCGUUUGCUUUAUAGAGGGCGCAAGUAGCUAUAAGUAGUACAGUGGGGCUUUAAGCUGGUCUAUGGGCAGCAUAGAAAAGGAAAACUGAAAAAUUAUUUUAACAAUUACUUCUUGAUCUUCAAGCUCUCAUUUCGCCGAUCAGGGGACGUUUCACAAAACUUGUCAUCAGUGACAAAUGACAGUUUUUGUUUUAUGCUUCUGAAAUCCUUGCUUCUGAUUGGUCAUCAGCAGAUUUGUCACUGAUUUUUGUCAUUUGUCCUGGAAAAAAGGCUUUGUGAAACGCCCCCAGUUCUUUUGGGUGUUAAUAUAAAAGCAUUAUAUUCUUAUAGUAAUGCCUAAUAAAUAUUAUUUGUAGAAGUAUGUACAUCGGUCUACCAUAGAAAAGUCACCAAAGAUCGAACAGGCUGUAUUUCCAGAU